GUUAAAGAUUUUUAAAAAAUGAUAUCAAAAGCAUAAUCCAUAAAAGAACAAACUGAUAAAAUGAACUUCAACAAAAUUAAAAACUUAUUCUUCAAAAGACACUGGUAGGAGAAUGAAA